rnacentral:lncRNA from 1 species
AAAAGUUCGAAAUCAAAUAAGCACUACCUUUUUUGAUAGUUUAACAAUACAUUCCAUUAUACGUGACAAAGUUCUAAAAUAUUUACAUAGAAUAGUAAUAGUAUUUCGAAUUUGUAUUUACAGCUAACAGUUUCAGGAAGAACUAAUAAGCUUUUAUGUAAUUUGCGUCGUCUCCCGCAGGAAUUCGGCUGGUGAGGGAAGGUCUCAUUGUAACAAUGGCAGAUCUAUUGGCUCCAGCCUUAAGAGCAGCCUUUCCAGCUUCCAAGAAUCUCCUAACUGCAUCCUCGGCGUAUCUGUUGGCUUCACCCACUGUCAGGCUUUUGCCAAUAUCUGGGUAUGUAUUUAAGACAUAAUCACCAUUGAGCUGCGAUGCAAGCUGGAUCAGUUCAACUUGAAACUCAGAUAGGCUUAGAUCCUCCUUUGGUCCUCUUGGCCUCAGUGAUGUUACCACCUCCGGCAGAGUUUCUGCACCCAGAUUUCAGGGUUAACUUCAAAUAUUGAUUUCUCUAAACAUUAAUGCCUAAAAUCAAUAAAUUGCCUCCUUUUAAUCAUGGUCAUGGUUGUGAGCGGGACAAUCAAAGUGUGUUUUUUUCUUAGAAAAAAAAAAAAAAAAUAACCACCACGUCAAUGCAACUUUUAAAUUAUGUAAAAGACUAAUCAGUAGUAUGUUUGAAUGGUAGUUACUUUGUGUGGCUCUGCCUACUUGUUAUAAUUUUUAUGUUUACGUUCAUUUUAGGUAGGACCAUUACAUUGAGUUGUUGACUACUGACUAGCAGUGCAUUGUAAUUCACUGACUUGCACGAAACGGAUAGCCUUAAAACUGGGUCGUUUUGGUGUAUUUGCACAUCUUAACUAACACGUGAGUGCUUAAUUUAUUGGUUGACCUGAAAUGCAUGGUUAGCCUUUUCACGUCAAUUGUUAAUUUUGGAUAAUUAGUCAUCACUUUAGUCAAGUUUCACGAUAUUAAUUGUUUUAAUAGUUAUUAACUGUUUUAUUAGUUUUUAACAUUAUGUACAAUGUAGCUAGCUUUUAACUUUUAAUAUGUUCAACAAUGUUAGUUGUUCGACAAUGUAACUAACUGUUAGUUUUUAACAUGUUCGAUAGACAAUGUAACCGUUCUAGCAGCUGUUAGUUAUUCUAUUAGCUUUUAAUAUAACUAUUAGUUAUUUUCUUACAUGUUUAAAGAUAAUAGUUAUUUAUAUAACGGUUUAAAUUAAAAGCAUUUAGUUUAAUGGGUCUAAUUGCCAAAAAAAUUUGAUUAACUUCUAUGAAACAUUAAAUGUGUUUUAAUAUUUCAUAAAAAUAAUAUUUCAUAAAAAGCUAAGUCAAUCUUUAAAAAUUAUUAUAAAAAUUAUGUUACGGAACACUGUAAAAUUAUUACUCAACGUGACCUUUGUUGUUAAAAGAACUACUCUGUCAAAGAAAAAAUUAACUCCUCACAUUUUUGCAAAUUCACUGAAGGAGGGUUUGUUCUGCAAAAAGUUCGAAAUCAAAUAAGCACUACCUUUUUUGAUAGUUUAACAAUACAUUCCAUUAUACGUGACAAAGUUCUAAAAUAUUUACAUAGAAUAGUAAUAGUAUUUCGAAUUUGUAUUUACAGCUAACAGUUUCAGGAAGAACUAAUAAGCUUUUAUGUAAUUUGCGUCGUCUCCCGCAGGAAUUCGGCUGGUGAGGGAAGGUCUCAUUGUAACAAUGGCAGAUCUAUUGGCUCCAGCCUUAAGAGCAGCCUUUCCAGCUUCCAAGAAUCUCCUAACUGCAUCCUCGGCGUAUCUGUUGGCUUCACCCACUGUCAGGCUUUUGCCAAUAUCUGGGUAUGUAUUUAAGAC